UGUCACGCCCCGAACCCCGAGCGCGCGCACAUCCCACUGCGGUCGAUCAAAAAUGCGACAUCCCAGGAUAUGUCGCCGACCCAUUCAUUUCUUUACGCAUGCGGAAGCGAAACAAAUCCCCUGACAACAUUUAACUUGGGAUAGAAAAGCAGGCAAUCAAUCACAAUACCAAACACUCAUUUACAAACACAAAAGGGGUUUAAAUACAACACUGGACUUUCUACAAAAUAGACCAGCUCGACAAAAGGGGGAUUAUCCUACAACCAACUAGCAGGACACGCUCUCCAACCCUUAUGACUUCACCUCUGCAACUCCUCAAGGCCAACCAAAGCUAUCUGGCCGCUCCGUCCACCAGGGACCUGAAAUUUUAAUCCCACAACCGGGAUGAGACGAUGUCUCAGCAAGUUCAACCCCCUAAACCCCUAUUAGAAAGAAAAUACGCCCCGGGUGGCCUAGCCACAUCACACAGAAGACUUACCUCGCCUCAGCCCUUAUCUGCAGGUUAGCACAAUUUAUAUAAACCAACCACGUGCAAUUAUGAUAACCAAACAACCAUGGCACAAUCACAUCAUCAAACCAUUCAACCACUUGGAUUGUCUCAGCGAUCAAUCGACUCGGCCGAUUACAUGUCAUUCUAGCAAAUCAAUCAUUGCUCUCAACUACGGCCCUACUUGGCAAAUUUAAAUCAGUGGCAUCACGGCCCCACUCGGCGCGACCUUUAACAGGUGGCAAUUCACGGCCCCACUGGGCACGACCUCUUGUAGGUGGUUUUUCACGGCCUCAUCGGGCACGACCUUUCCAAGGUGGUUUAUCACGGCCUCUCUGGGCACGACCUCGUAGAGGUGGUUUAUCACGGCCUCUCUGGGCACGACCUCGUAGAGGUGGUUUAUCACGGCCUCUCUGGGCAUGACCUUUCACAGGUGGUUUAUCACGGCCUCUCUGGGCACGACCUUUCACAGGUGGUUUAUCACGGCCUCUCUGGGCACGACCUCUAAUAGGUGGUAUUUCACGGCCUCAUCGGGCACGACCUCUUGUAGGUGGUAUUUCACGGCCUCAUCGGGCACGACCUUUCCAAGGUGGUUUAUCACGGCCUCUCUGGGCACGACCUCUAGUAGGUGGUCAAUCACAGCCAAUCUCCCAUCAAUUUCUACACUUAGGAUUUCAUAAAGAAUCCCUAUAAAUCACAAUCACACUCAAUUCAUCACAACCAAUCAUCAAUUUCAAAUUCUAAAUACACAGCAACGAUCGGCACGAAAUUCUGAGCAAAUAAGGUCCCAAUGAAAAUUUUCGGAAUUUAAUAAAUAAUUAAAUUUAUUCCGAAAAUAAUUAAAUAAUAAUAUCCAUAGUUUUCGAAAUCCACACUCAAUUUAUAAAAUCCAAUCAUCAAUUUCAAAUUCCGAAUGUACCGUAGCAACCAUCAUGAAAUUUUGAGCAACCGGGGUCAAAAAUAAUUUUUCUGAUUUUUUUUUAAAUAAUAAUAUUUUAAUAAUUUCGGAUUAUAAUAUAAUAUAAUAUUUUCCAGAAUUUCGAAGCACUUAAAUAAUUCAAAACUAAAAUCAUUUUGUGUCACAUCAAGGCUUAACUUUAAAUAAACUCUCUUAGCAAUUAAUUAAACAUACUUUAGAUUAAACAAACAUCUUAAUCUAAAUCAUAAUUAAAUCAACUAAAUUAACCACCUAAGCUUAAUCAACUUAAGCUAAGCACACCUAAAGCAUAAUUAACCCUCUAAGCGAGGUUUAGUGAGCUAAACUCACCGGAUUAGCGAACCGAGCGGACCAAAACGACGGGGACGCCGAGGAGAACAACUUUCCUCAAAGCGGGCCGAGCAUCCGGGCUCGGGAAGGCGGCCA
rnacentral:lncRNA from 1 species